UAGAAGUCAACCUAUGUUUCAAGUGAACAUUUGUGACUAUACAAGGUAAUAGAGAGGACAGUUCAGCUCACAAACAUCACAGAGGACAUCGUAAGAUUCUGUGCCUCAAGGAAAUUAUUUUUCCAAGGAAGAGAAAUUUUCUACAUAGAGUUAAUAUACGACUAAAAGGAGUUCGUCGGCGCUUGUAAAUGAGAAAAAAUCCUUUCAGAUUCAUCAGAACAAAAGUUUAUAGAACAGUUUUCUGGAGAAACGACUAUCUUUUGGCUGAAAUGCGUGUUAAAAUAGAAUUCGCUGUAUUAGCAGUAAUAAUUGGAUUUUUUGUGGGUUUAAUCAAAGGCCUAUUGAUAGCAGUGGUAGCUGGAAUAUUUAUUGGUGUAAGUAUCGGUCUAUUGAUUGGCAUAAAGAUUGCCUUCAUGAUCACAAAUCAGUUUGGUGAAAGCUACGAUGAUCAGUUUUAUUGGCUGCAGCAGCUUGACGAAUCAGACAACACAGCAGCAAUGCCUCUAUGAAAAAUUUUUGUUCCUAGAACAUGCCCUGAUCACGUGGGGGGAUUGGUCAAAAUAAAAUCUUGAAUCUUGAAAUUCAAAAAAAGAGUUCUAAAGUCACAAGACUGAAAAACUGAGCAAAAACGUUGGUUUGUACGCACGUAUUGGUAAUGACUCAUCAUAUACCUUAAAUGUUUGCAAUGUAUUUUUUUUUGCAUAUAAUUCAAUCAAGACAUUCGAAUAUUACCUAAUGAAUCGAUGUAUGGCGAACUCAAUACAUUUAAUAUUACAAUACAA